rnacentral:tRNA from 1 species
UCCGGUGUCGUCUAGUGGCUGGGAUGCCUGGCUCUCGCCCAGGAGGCCUGGGUUCGAUUCCCGGUACCGGAA